CUCAUGAUAUACUCCAACGGUAGGUUCCUCAAAGUGUCAGAAAAAAGUGGAAUGGGAACUAGCCGUUGGAGAUGUUCUCAGAUCCAGGCGAGGAACCAGGUGACAAUAGAUCUGUUGCAGCAGUCUCCACAGCAUCGCUGUCGACCCGCCAUCCUUUUGUUUGAACUCUGUUGUUUCGCCGUCCUCUUCUCUAACCCUCCCUUUCGUGUCUCUCUUAUGCUUCUUCUCUCCUUCUGUUGCUGUCUCCUCUUCGUCUUUCUGCUCCUCCUCCAGCCUUUCUCCUCUACUUUGCUCCACCGCCUCCUCCUCUCUCCCGUUUCUUCUAUUGAUCUUAUCCAAUGAGAACAAUAUACCACACACUCAUUUCAAUCUUUAUGCGUAUUAUCAAGUUCUAAAUACUAAAGUUAGAACAUUGCAUUUGAACUUGGGAUUGAAUUUUGCUUUUCGGUAAGUCACAAAUUCUUUAAUCUUUAUCAAUAAUAGACUUAUCAUUGUAAUUAUUUUGUUGUGAGAGUACAUAAAGAGUACAUAAUAUAU